UGCUUCCUGGUGCUUAUUACAGUCAGUGUGCUCCUUACACUGACUGUAUAGAAAGAGGAGGCAUACUAAAUGUACCCCAUAUAUAUAUCCAGCACAGGCCUUUUACGUGGCCUGUAUUGUGAAUGAGGGGACAUGG